rnacentral:rRNA from 1 species
CCUACGGGCGGCAGCAGUGGGGAAUAUUGGACAAUGGGGGGAACCCUGAUCCAGCCAUGCCGCGUGUGUGAAGAAGGCCCUCGGGUUGUAAAGCACUUUCAGUGAGGAAGAACGCCUGGUGGUUAAUACCCAUCAGGAAAGACAUCACUCACAGAAGAAGCACCGGCUAACUCCGUGCCAGCAGCCGCGGUAAUACGGAGGGUGCGAGCGUUAAUCGGAAUUACUGGGCGUAAAGCGCGCGUAGGUGGCUUGAUAAGCCGGUUGUGAAAGCCCCGGGCUCAACCUGGGAACGGCAUCCGGAACUGUCAAGCUAGAGUGCAGGAGAGGAAGGUAGAAUUCCCGGUGUAGCGGUGAAAUGCGUAGAGAUCGGGAGGAAUACCAGUGGCGAAGGCGGCCUUCUGGACUGACACUGACACUGAGGUGCGAAAGCGUGGGUAGCGAACAGGAUUAGAUACCCCUGUAGUC